rnacentral:rRNA from 1 species
GACGAACGCUGGCGGCGUGCUUAACACAUGCAAGUCGAACGAAGUGGCGAACGGGUGAGUAAUACGUGAGUAACCUGCCCUCCUUUUUGGGAUAAGCCUUGGAAACGGGGUCUAAUACCGAAUAUAGGGGGAUGGGCUCGCGGCCUAUCAGCUUGUUGGUGGGGUGAUGGCCUACUAAGGCGGUGACGGGUAGCCGGCCUGAGAGGGUGACCGGCCACAUUGGGACUGAGAUACGGCCCAGACUCUUACGAGAGGCAGCAGUGGGGGAGUUUGCACAAUGGGCGAAAGCCUGAUGCAGCGACGCCGCGUGAGUUAAGAAGGUUUUCGGAUCGUGAAACGCUGUUGUUAGAAAAACGGUAUCUAACCAGAAAGCCACGGCUAACUACGUGCCAGCAGCCGCUGUAAUAC